rnacentral:rRNA from 1 species
AAUCAACGCUGGCGGCGUGCCUAACACAUGCAAGUCGCACGAGAAAGGGGAGCAAUCCCUGAGUAAAGUGGCGCACGGGUGAGUAACACGUGAAUCAUCUACCUCCGAGUGGGGAAUAACUGAGAGAAAUCUUAGCUAAUACCGCAUAACACUUACGAGUCAAAGCAGCAAUGCGCUUGGAGAGGAGUUCGCGGCCGAUUAGUUAGUUGGCGGGGUAAUGGCCCACCAAGACGAUGAUCGGUAUCCGGCCUGAGAGGGCGCACGGACACACUGGAACUGAAACACGGUCCAGACUCCUACGGGAGGCAGCAGUGGGGAAUUUUGCGCAAUGGGGAAACCCUGACGCAGCAACGCCGCGUGGAGGAUGAAGUAUCUUGGUACGUAAACUCCUUUCGAUUGGGAAGAUAAUGACGGUACCAAUAGAAGAAGCCCCGGCUAACUUCGUGCCAGCCG